rfam:Ictidomys tridecemlineatus contig070581, whole genome shotgun sequence.
AGCGUUGUGGCUCAGUGGUAAAGCGCUUGCCUAGUACGUGGGAAGCACUGGGUUCAAUCCUCAGCACCGCUU